UUAAAACUGAACUCAAACAUUUGAUUGACAUUUAAUAGUAGAGAACCAGAACCAAGGCAUACUUCCUAUAAGUGAUAGUGGCUCACUGAUUGUUCAGUGAAGAACGAUUUUUAACAGUAGCAGCAAAAUGGUUUAUAUUGGACACCUAUAAUUGAAGAAGCUUCUUUACCCAGAGUUUAGUAUUUACUUGGGAUAUUGGGAGUUUAAGUUUUAAUGCAUGUACAUCUGACUUUUGAAUUCAAAAUAGUAAAUUUCUAGGUACUUAGAAAGCAAGUAAGUAACAAAACAGAAUUACUGCCCCUCCAAUCCCCUCUCAGGCCUUGUUUCUUACCCAGAGGUAGCUAAUUUUCGCCUUUUUCUCUUUCCAUUUGGUGCCAUAUGUUAAAGUUAGUUGUUUGUGUAUCUUGCUAGAUUGUAAGUUCCCUAAAUGUAGGGGCGUCUGCAUUUUUGCCUUUGUAUUUCAGUGCUUUUGCACUGAACUUAAAUCAUAGCUAUCAAUAUAUAACUUUGGAGAACAGGGAGAAGACACUAGAGAUAUAUAUCUAAUAGUAACUGCAGUUACAAAACAGAACUUUUUAGGAGUAGAUAAUAGAAAUAUGGAAUAUCAUGGAAUUUGUUUAUAAAAUUUCUUCCUAAACUGAGUUUGGCCUGAUCAUAUAAUAGCAUUUAGUGAUCACAUGCCUUGUGCAGGGACUAUUUUAAGUGUCUAAUUUGAUUUUUAAAAUUAAAAGUUACUUUAUACCUAAAGAUGAGUGCUUAGUUAUUGUUUAUAUUAUACAGAUAAGGAAACUGAAUUUAAGUAAUUUACCCAAGGACAUUCAGCUAACAAAAUGGUGGGCUAGAAGAACAACCCAGGUAAUCUACCUAUUGAACCAGAACUUUUUUGUUUUGUGUGAUUUUUAUAAUAUAAAAGGGUCUUGAUUCUAAAUGUAAUUUUUUUUUAACUUUUAAGUUCAGGAAUACAAGUGCAGGCCUGUUACAUGGGGCAAAUGUGUGUCAUGACACCCAAGUAUUAAGCCUAGUAUCCGUUAGUUAUUUUCCCUGAUUCUCUCUCUCCUCCCACUCUCUAUCCUCUAAAAGACCCCAAUAUGUAUUGUUCCCCUCUAUGUGUCCAUGUGUUCUCAUCAU